CAGCCGCCACGGGAAUACAGAGGGUGCGAGCGUUAAUCGGAUUUACUGGGCGUAAAGCGUGCGUAGGUGGCUUUUUAAGUCGGAUGUGAAAUCCCUGAGCUUAACUUAGGAAUUGCAUUCGAUACUGGGAAGCUAGAGUAUGGGAGAGGAUGGUAGAAUUCCAGGUGUAGCGGUGAAAUGCGUAGAGAUCUGGAGGAAUACCGAUGGCGAAGGCAGCCAUCUGGCCUAAUACUGACGCUGAGGUACGAAAGCAUGGGGAGCAAACAGGAUUAGAUACCCCUGUAGUCCCUGUCUCUUAUAC
rnacentral:rRNA from 1 species